rnacentral:rRNA from 1 species
GAUGAACGCUGGCGGCGUGCCUAAUACAUGCAAGUCGAGCGAACAGACGAGGAGCUUGCUCCUCUGACGUUAGCGGCGGACGGGUGAGUAACACGUGGAUAACCUACCUAUAAGACUGGGAUAACUUCGGGAAACCGGAGCUAAUACCGGAUAAUAUAUUGAACCGCAUGGUUCAAUAGUGAAAGACGGCUCUGCUGUCACUUAUAGAUGACCUUGCGGUGCAUUAGUUAGUUGGUGGGGUAACGGCCUACCAAGACGAUGAUGCAUAGCCGACCUGAGAGGGUGAUCGGCCACAUUGGGACUGAGACACGGCCCAAACUCCUACGGGAGGCAGCAGUAGGGAAUCUUCCGCAAUGAGCGAAAGCCUGACGGAGCAAUGCCGCGUGAGUGAAGAAGGCCUUCGGGUCGUAAAACUCUGUUAUAAGAGAAGAACAAAUUGUAGAGUAACUGCUACAGUCUUGACGGUAUCUUAUCAGAAAGCCACGGCUAACUACGUGCCAGCCGCCGCCGUAA